AUGACCAGAGUAUUAUCUGGUCUAAAAUCUCCAAACAUAGGCGGGGCAAGCACCCCAAGAAAGCACUCUUUUAAUAUGAAUUGUUUAUUCUGGAAUAUCAGGGGUAUCACCACCCCAGGAAAGAAACCAUGUAUUGUAGAUACCUUGACUAAAACAAAUGCUAGUAUAGUUGCUUUCCAGGAAACUAAGAAAGAAGAGCUUACUACUGCCUUUCUUAAGUCCAUUAGUGGGAAUAAGAAUUUUCUUUGGCAUCAUCUCCCUGCUGUAGGCACUGCUGGUGGUGUUUUGGUUGGUGUAGAUGCAGAUAUUUUUGAGGUCCUGCAAUGGAGCUCACUGAAUUACUCUGUGUCCUGUAACCUGAAAGUUAAAGCUAAUGGGACCUGUUUUAGAGUUAUAGCUGUUUAUGGAUCUCCAUAUGAUGAGGGCAAAGAUGCUUUUAUCUCUGAACUCCAUAGCCUCUUUGUAGAUGACCAAAUGCCCACUCUCAUAGGAGGGGAUUUUAAUCUAGUUAGAUAUCAGCAUGAUAAGAGUAAUGGUAAUAUUAACCAUCUCUGGGCUGAUAAAUUUAAUGCCUGGGUGGAAACAUGGAGCCUUCUAGAAAUUAGGAUGUCAAGUAGGAAAUUCAGUUGGGCUAAUAACCAAGAGAAUAGCAUCAUGACUACCAUAGAUAGGAUCUUCUGCACCACUGAGCUGGAAGCUAUGUUCCCUCUAUGCACCUCCCAAGCCCUCCCCAGAACUGGGAGUGACCAUACUCCCCUUCUAUGGGAUUCAGGGUUGGGGAGCAGUCCUAGAGGCUCCAGUUUCAAAUUUGAAAAAUGGUGGUUGCUCCAUAAGGAUUUCAAAGAUUUGGCCAUCAAAAACUGGACAACUCCAGUCAAGAAGGGCAAACCAAUAGAUGUCUGGCAAGAAAAAGUUAGAAGAUUCAGAAAAUUCUCCAAAGGGUGGAGUAAGAAUGUAGAAGCAGAGAUUAGGAAGUUGAAAACUGCUCUCACAGAAGAGUAUGAUGGGUUGGAUAUCAAAUCAGAAACAACUUGUCUCUCUGAUGUUGAGAAUGCUAGGAUGCAGAAUAUUCUAAAAGAGCUUAGAUAUAUCUGGAUUAAAGAGGAAACCAAGGCUAGACAAAGAUCUAGGGAUAGAGAUAUACUAGAAGGAGACAGGAAUACCAUGUACUUCAUUGAUGUAGCCAACCAAAGGAGAAGGAAGACCCUUAUUCAUUCACUAGUUGGCCCUGAUGGUCCUACCUCAGACACUAGAGAUAUGGUUAAAAUAGCCUCUGACUUUUAUAAAGAUCUCUUUAAGAAAGAAGUUAGAGGAGGAUUCAAUUUAAGACAAGAUUUUUUCUCUGAUGAGGGGAAAAUCUCUGAAGAUAAUAAUGAAACCCUCCCAGCUCCAUUUUCUGAAAAAGAACUGAAGGAUGCAAUCUUUGGUUCAUACUCUGAAGGAGCGCCUGGACCAGAUGGCCUAUCCUUUCUUUUUCUUCAGGAAUUCUGGGAAGUUAUCAAGCAGGAUGUUAUGGCUCUGUUUGAUGACUUCCAUGCAGGAAAACUUGAUAUAUAUAUAGAUUGA
rnacentral:rRNA from 1 species